UACGUAGGGUGCGAGCGUUGUCCGGAAUUAUUGGGCGUAAAGGGCUCGUAGGCGGUUUGUCGCGUCGGGAGUGAAAACUCAGGGCUUAACCCUGAGCCUGCUUCCGAUACGGGCAGACUAGAGGUAUGCAGGGGAGAACGGAAUUCCUGGUGUAGCGGUGAAAUGCGCAGAUAUCAGGAGGAACACCGGCGGCGAAGGCGGCCAACUGGCGAAACAUUGACGCUGAGGUGCGAAAGCGUGGGGAGCGAACAGG
rnacentral:rRNA from 1 species